UGUGAGUGAAAUGGGCGGAGCCAUGUUCUUCUCAAGGCUUGAUGCAGCACAAGGGUUCUGGCAAAUACAGCUCAAAGAGAAAAGCUCAAAAUACUGCGCCUUUAAUACUCCCUUUGGCAGGUAUAGGUUCUUGAGAAUGCCAUUUGGAAUAAUCUCAGCGUCAGAGAUAUUUCGUAGAACCAGGGACAAUAUGCUAGGACUUGAAGGGGUUUGCUGUUAUGUGGAUGAUGUUGACAUAUGGGGCACAACCUUACAGAAACACAAUGAAAGACUGGCAAAAGUGCAACAAAGAAGAAAAUGCAUUGAACGUAAUCGUGCGAAAUGUCAGUUUGGUGUCCAGGAGAUAAUGUUUCUGGGGGAUAAGUUGUCCAACUGAGGUAUUCAACCAGAUAAAAAGAAAAUAAAAGCCAUCCUCAGCAUGCCUCGCCCCACAGACAAAAAGGGUGUACUAGGAGUCAUGGGAAUGAUUAACUUCAUUGGAAAGUUUAUUCCGAAUCUGUCAGUGAAAACAUCAGCCAUGAGAGAGCUAUUUCAUGAUGCUACAGAGUUUAAAUGGACGAGGUGACAUGAGCAAGAGCGGAAUGUUUUGAAAACUACGCUCACGACUGCGCCAGUUGUGGCAUACUACGAUUCAACAAAAAGACUGAAAAUCUCGACAGAUGCGUCCAAAGACGGUCUUGGAGCUGUCUGACUACAAGCAGAAGGUGAAAAUUGGAAACCUGUAGCUUAUGCUUCUUGAUCCAUGACAAGAACUGAAACAUAAUACGCACAAAUUGAGAAAGAAUGUUUGGGAUUGGCUUAUGGACUGGACAUUUUCCAUUAUUAUGUGUAUGGCCUUCCAACAUUCACAGUUGAGACAGAUCAUCACCCAUUAAUAUCCAUCAUCAAGAAGAAUUUAAGCAAGAUGUCACCAAGAACCCAGGGCCUCGUCAUGAAAAUGCAGAGGUAUGAUUUUGAAUUGAUUUACACACCAGGCAAACAUCUAGUGUUAGCAGAUGCGCUAUCAAGAGCACCAGAGCUCCACUGAAAGUGAAGUCGAGGCUCAUGUAAACCUCAUAGUGGUGUCCCUGCCGGUCUCAGAUUCAAAAUCCAAACAAAUAAGGGAGGAAACCAUGAAAGACACAGAAAUGCAGACGGUGAUGACACAGAUGAGAGAAGGCUGGCUGAGUGGAUCAUUAAGAAAGUAUUACCGCAUCAGGUCAGAGCUCAGUGUUACAAAUUACCUAUUACUGGGAGACAAAAGGAUUGUCAUUCCAACAGUGUAACAGUGGCAACAGUUCGCAAUGCGGUUUGGCUUUAGUCAUGUAACAUCUAGUCCCCUGCAUGCACAAGAAUGGUAAAGCAGAAAAAGGUGGGCAUAUUGUCAAGCGACUUCUUAAAAAGGCAACAGACAGCAGAUCUGAUCCGUAUCUAGCUCUUCUGAGUUACAGGCCCGCACCUGUUGAAUGUGGCCAAUCACCUGCUGAGUUGUUAAUGAAUUGCAAACUUCGCACAACUUUGCCCUGCUAUUCAGAAACGAGACAGAACAAAGACAUUCAAAGUAAGAUGGACUAUCUAAAAAGCAAACAAAAGCAACGUUAUGAUGAAGCGCCCAAAACACUUCCACCACUGGUCAAAGAUGAUGUUGUUCGAAUCCAGGAUCAAAAGGUGUGGAACAAGAAAGCUAUAGUACUCAAGGAAGUUGGACCAAGGUCAUACGAAGUGAGAACCGAGGACGGAAACGUGUUCAGGAGAAAUCGUCGAAACCUUUGCAAAACCAAAGAACAUUUCCAAGAGACAAACGAUGAAACGCCAAGUCUCAGGAUGUUGUGUGUACUCCAACUGAAUCCAACAUGACUGAGCUGAACGAGAAUGGUCAUGAACCAUCGUCAGAGAAUGAUACCUCAACAUCACCUGUUCUAAGGACGUCCAACCGUAACAUUAAGAAACCUGUCAGGCUUGAUUUGUAAAAAAAAAAAAAAGAAAAAGAAAAAAAAUAUUUAAAUGUUCUAGUAAGAUUGACAGGUGUUUAAAAAAAGAAGAGAAAGUUGUUCAUAAUAAAGAAUUUGUUUACGCUAACUUAAAUUAAAAAAAAGAAAACAUUUGCAUGUUUGCAUAUACUGUAUCGGGAUAUGUAUGUUUUCUUAUAAAGAAAAGGGAAUGUCUUGAUAUGUGUUUGUGAAACAUAUAGCCAACAGAGGGCGCUGUGGGAUUAGAGUUGAUAGCAUAUGACAAGGCUUCCGGUAACGAGGGAGCACGAGAGAUCACCAUGCAUGCUGAGUAAUAAAGUUGAGCUCAGGCUCAUUUGUUCAUAAAA